UUGGUCCACCACCCUGAGCAACACACCGCUGCCUCUUCUCGACUGGAGCGGCGCCCAAGCCGCCGCUGCUCGUCCCGUCGCCCGCCGGCGCGGCACACCGCAUCUGCUCGCGCCGGCGCCUCACGUCGCUUCAGCCUCCUCCUCUCGCCACAAAUGACGCCGCCUCCUCUCACCGUAGAUGCCGCCUCUCGUCAGAUCUGACGGAGCUCAACAUCGGUGCGGCCUUCUCCGUUCGGUCUCCACCAUCCGGCCACUGCGUCUUCCCCAUCAAGAACCUCAAGGACCUCGUCAUCUUCUACUACCUUGUCUAGGUCAUGGAGCUACUAUUAUUUGGUGAAGAUCGAAUGGUGGCAAAGAUAGGACAACAAUGCAUGCAGUUACCAUCUUCAUUUCUUAAAUUUAUGGACAAAUCAGAUUUUGGGACCUGGGAACUUAGUUUGUGGUUGUACUCAAUGUUCUAGGUGUUGAUGUCCUUUGCUUCCGAUUUUAUUUUACCUUACUGUGGUGAUGUAUAAGAAAAACUUCUCAGUGGGCUCUUUGCUAAACACUAAAAUUUAAAUGCUUGUAAUAUUGUUUGGAGGGCACAGAUUGACUUACCACAUGUGAAUUUGUCAACUGAUACAAUGCAUAGCAGUGUUAAUUAUCGUUUUAAAAA